GCAAGAGACUCUCUGCAAUCUGGCUGUGACAUCUGUCACCCCAUUGAUCGCCAGGGUUGAUUCAGCUGAUCUGGCUGGCUAUGCGGGUGUCCCCUUCCUCCCUUCCUCCCUCACCGAUCCAUGUGCAUCCCUCCAGAAGCUGCGCGCUCGGUCGAAGAGGACAGCCUUCCCCGAAUAGAAACGGACAGGUCUUCGGUUGAGGGUAUAUGAGUAGCUGCGCUCCCCUGCUAGAACCUACAAACAAGCUCUCAAGGGUAAUAGCAACAGAACCUGAAAAUAAGUCUGCAGAACUGAGUUUGCCAAGGAGGUGGGAAGAGACCUU
rnacentral:snRNA from 1 species